rnacentral:rRNA from 1 species
ACCGCAUAAGAGUAGAUGUUGCAUGACAUUUGCUUAAAAGGUGCAAUUGCAUCACUACCAGAUGGACCUGCGUUGUAUUAGCUAGUUGGUGGGGUAACGGCUCACCAAGGCGACGAUACAUAGCCGACCUGAGAGGGUGAUCGGCCACACUGGGACUGAGACACGGCCCAGACUCCUACGGGAGGCAGCAGUAGGGAAUCUUCGGCAAUGGACGGAAGUCUGACCGAGCAACGCCGCGUGAGUGAAGAAGGUUUUCGGAUCGUAAAGCUCUGUUGUAAGAGAAGAACGAGUGUGAGAGUGGAAAGUUCACACUGUGACGGUAUCUUACCAGAAAGGGACGGCUAACUACGUGCCAGCAGCCGCGGUAAUACGUAGGUCCCGAGCGUUGUCCGGAUUUAUUGGGCGUAAAGCGAGCGCAGGCGGUUAGAUAAGUCUGAAGUUAAAGGCUGUGGCUUAACCAUAGUACGCUUUGGAAACUGUUUAACUUGAGUGCAAGAGGGGAGAGUGGAAUUCCAUGUGUAGCGGUGAAAUGCGUAGAUAUAUGGAGGAACACCGGUGGCGAAAGCGGCUCUCUGGCUU